UACGUAGGGGGCGAGCGUUGUCCGGAUUUAUUGGGCGUAAAGAGCGCGCAGGCGGUCGUUCAAGUCGCGUGUGAAAGCCCCCGGCUCAACGUGGGAGAGGUCCGUUGGAUACUGGCAGACUUGAGGGAGGUAGAGGAGGAGUGGAAUUCCCGGUGUAGUGGUGAUAUGCGUAGAUAUCGGGAGGAACACCAGUGGCGAAGGCGGCUCUCUGGGCCUUUCCUGACGCUGAGACGCGAAAGCGUGGGGAGCGAACCGG
rnacentral:rRNA from 1 species